GACGAACGCUGGCGGCGUGCUUAACACAUGCAAGUCGAACGGUGAACCUGCUUCGGUGGGGGAUCAGUGGCGAACGGGUGAGUAACACGUGGGCAACCUGCCCUCAGCUCUGGGAUAACUCCAAGAAAUUGGGGCUAAUACUGGAUAUGACCGCUGACCGCAUGGUCUGGUGGUGGAAAGAUUUAUCGGCUGGGGAUGGGCCCGCGGCCUAUCAGCUUGUUGGUGGGGUAGUGGCCUACCAAGGCGACGACGGGUAGCCGGCCUGAGAGGGUGACCGGCCACAUGGGGCCUGGGCCCGGGCCGGGCCCCCUGCGGGGGGGGACGGGGGGAAAUAUGGCGACAGGGGCGGAGCCCGGACGCAGCGGCCCCGCGGGGGGGAGGCGGGCCUGCGGGUUGUAACCCUCUUCCGACGGGAAGGAAGGGAAAGGGCGGGUCCCUUCUAAAAAGGCCCCGCCCACCCACGUG
rnacentral:rRNA from 1 species